rnacentral:rRNA from 2 species
ACUGCAGUCGAAGAUUCUGNUAUUGAAAGGUGCUUGCAUCUUGNUUAAUUUUGAACGAGUGGCGGACGGGUGAGUAACACGUGGGUAACCUGCCCUUAAGUGGGGGAUAACAUUUGGAAACAGAUGCUAAUACCGCAUAAAUCCAAGAACCGCAUGGUUCUUGGCUGAAAGAUGGCGUAAGCUAUCGCUUUUGGAUGGACCCGCGGCGUAUUAGCUAGUUGGUGAGGUAACGGCUCACCAAGGCAAUGAUACGUAGCCGAACUGAGAGGUUGAUCGGCCACAUUGGGACUGAGACACGGCCCAAACUCCUACGGGAGGCCACCAUUA